GCUUUUCGUUCCACCUCUGAAGAAAGGAAAAAUGAAAAAGGAAACUACAUCACAGGAGUUACGUUUCAGCAGGUUUUAUAGGGUGUAGGCACUACUGCAGAAAUGAGAUGCCUGCUAUCAACACACAAACUCAGGAGAAGCCACAGAAGCAGCUGAAUGAGUCACACAUAUUUCACACUUGGAGUUCCUCAGAAAAACAGAUGAUGAAACUAAACCAUGGAGCUGUAAGAAUUCACCCAAGGCCAUGCGCUGAAUUAAAGAACAUCUUCUGGGAUCUGGUAUUACUCUCAGAUUGCUAAGCCUCAUCUCUUUUUAUUAAAUCACGAUGGACUAAUGAGGGAACUGUUUGGGAAGCAUCCUGGGCCAAAUCCUUAGCUCUGCUGCCAGUACACCUGGUAAAGCUGACAGGGCGUGUAUGGGAGUAAAAGUGGCUAUGGGGCAUUCCUCCAUUCUCUGUGAUGUAGGGCCAGCUAAGGCCUGAAACAGGCCUGAUGCAAUUUACAGCAGCUCUAUACAUCCAUGUUAUUGGUGGCUAAAUUGUUCCUAUAUAAACAACAACUGGGAUGUCUCUUGCCCUACUCAUUCAGCCUGGAAGGGGUUAAGAGUGACUGAUAGAAAAAUGAAGAGUCAGCUUUGGCUUUCAUUUAGGACAGCUUCCUGGGGAAGCAAAGCUGAGACUCUGGGUGGAUCAGAAACAGAGAUUUAAGAUCUUUAAAAACUUUUCCAAAAUAAUCUUCCCACCCUCCCUCCCCUUAUUCUCUCCCUGUACCUUCAUCAUGAAAUAAGUUGCAUUAGAGAAGCUGAGGUGAAGGCAGUCAUCCCACCUCUGGAUAUGUAGGCAACCCCUACAGAAGGUACCAGAAAGUGAAUACAAAUGCCAAGUAGCAAAAAUUGCCUCUCAAUCUGUAAAUUUAUAUGUGAACUAAGCAAAGUGAGUGUGAUCCUUCUGAAACUGCAGGACUUGAAGUCUCACGGAGACUUCAGAGGCUGAAAAAGCUGAAGAAAUACACAAAAAUAUCCAUCAAAGUGUACCAUGUUGGGUUGGAAAACUCCUUUUGUACAACUGAGCAGCUGCUCACUAGGAUGCCUAAAAGCUUUCCUUUAUUUUAUAGGAUUUUCCCUUUUAUUUUAUAUUUUUAAAAGUAACACUAUUUUUUCAUAGGUCAAAAGUCAGCAAAUCAGAGUACUAGAUGUAUAAAUACAUACUGUAUUUUGUGAUUUAUGGCCUACAUGGAGAUAAAGGCCAUACAGUUGGAACAAGUCACUUGCCAAUAGCCUGCAACAGACCAUAAACAGAUGAGAGAAAUAUAAAGAAUACCUAUUUCCUAUAGCAAAAGAGGGAAGAGAGAAGUCAUGGGGCACACUGAUAUUAUGUGAGUAAAUGUAAA